AGGUUAGCCACGGGACAGGACGAGAGAAGUGCCUCGGGCGGAAAUGGUGCAGGUCUGGUUGGGCAGAGCUAGCUGUGUAGGUGUGAGCGUCGGCAGCACUCAUCGCUGGGGUAAGGCGGCGACGUUCCCGGGGCAACCGCUGGUGGUAAGACAAGCUCCGAGUAUCACCGCCUCAGCCGCUGCUACAGUGAGCGACCUCCAACCGCGACCCGCUAUACCUUUAAGGGUUUGCCUAACGGAGGUGAUGGCUAGUAGCAGCAUAGCCGAGCAGGACACUAACACGUCAGACUAUCGUGGUUCUCUGAAUGUCUUAAAGAACUAUGUUGGUGUUCUUAUCAUUAUAUAGAAAACAGAAUGCAUCUUUAAAGGUUUGUAUAUUUUUUUGAGUACCUUCAGGAAUUUUUAUUGUAUAGAUUUAGAUCCCUGUAAAGGCUACUAGAUAUUGAUGAAGACUUACGUAUCUUUGGAAUAUCUUCGGGAAUUUAAUGACAUGCUUCAGGGUGUACAUCAAAGAAAAUAUCUUGAGCUUACACAACUAUA